rnacentral:rRNA from 1 species
GCAGGCCUAACACAUGCAAGUCGAGCGGUAGAGAGAAGCUUGCUUCUCUUGAGAGCGGCGGACGGGUGAGUAAUGCCUAGGAAUCUGCCUGGUAGUGGGGGAUAACGUUCGGAAACGGACGCUAAUACCGCAUACGUCCUACGGGAGAAAGCAGGGGACCUUCGGGCCUUGCGCUAUCAGAUGAGCCUAGGUCGGAUUAGCUAGUUGGUGAGGUAAUGGCUCACCAAGGCGACGAUCCGUAACUGGUCUGAGAGGAUGAUCAGUCACACUGGAACUGAGACACGGUCCAGACUCCUACGGGAGGCAGCAGUGGGGAAUAUUGGACAAUGGGCGAAAGCCUGAUCCAGCCAUGCCGCGUGUGUGAAGAAGGUCUUCGGAUUGUAAAGCACUUUAAGUUGGGAGGAAGGGUUGUAGAUUAAUACUCUGCAAUUUUGACGUUACCGACAGAAUAAGCACCGGCUAACUCUGUGCCAGCAGCCGCGGUAAUACAGAGGGUGCAAGCGUUAAUCGGAAUUACUGGGCGUAAAGCGCGCGUAGGUGGUUUGUUAAGUUGGAUGUGAAAUCCCCGGGCUCAACCUGGGAACUGCAUUCAAAACUGACUGACUAGAGUAUGGUAGAGGGUGGUGGAAUUUCCUGUGUAGCGGUGAAAUGCGUAGAUAUAGGAAGGGAACACCAGUGGCGAAAG